rnacentral:rRNA from 1 species
UACGUAGGGUGCAAGCGUUGUCCGGAAUUAUUGGGCGUAAAGAGCUCGUAGGCGGUUUGUCGCGUCGAAUGUGAAAUCCCGGGGCUCAACCCCGGGUCUGCAUUCGAUACGGGCAGACUAGAGUUCGGCAGGGGAGUCUGGAAUUCCUGGUGUAGCGGUGAAAUGCGCAGAUAUCAGGAGGAACACCGGUGGCGAAGGCGGGACUCUGGGCCGAUACUGACGCUGAGGAGCGAAAGCGUGGGGAGCAAACAGG